rnacentral:rRNA from 1 species
GACGAACGCUGGCGGCGUGCUUAACACAUGCAAGUCGAACGGAAAGGCCCUGCUUUUGUGGGGUGCUCGAGUGGCGAACGGGUGAGUAACACGUGAGUAACCUGCCCUUGACUUUGGGAUAACUUCAGGAAACUGGGGCUAAUACCGGAUAGGAGCUCCUGCUGCAUGGUGGGGGUUGGAAAGUUUCGGCGGUUGGGGAUGGACUCGCGGCUUAUCAGCUUGUUGGUGGGGUAGUGGCUUACCAAGGCUUUGACGGGUAGCCGGCCUGAAAGGGUGACCGGCCACAUUGGGACUGAAAUACGGCCCAGACUCCUACGGGAGGCAGCAGUGGGGAAUAUUGCACAAUGGGCGGAAGCCUGAUGCAGCAACGCCGCGUGCGGGAUGACGGCCUUCGGGUUGUAAACCGCUUUCGCCUGUGACGAAGCGUGAGUGACGGUAAUGGGUAAAGAAGCACCGGCUAACUACGUG